UCCUCCGCCUCCGCCGUGAACAGCAGCAGCAGCAGCAGCGCUGGUGGUGGUGGUGGUGCCGGUGGGACCCAGCUAUGCGGCGGGGUGUUUGGAGCCUUUGGAGACUUCCUCAUCCCGUUAGCGAUGUCACUGUUUAGCCAGGCCAAUUUUGAGGAAGACAGCCAGAAUCAACCAGCUGUGGGACACUGGAAGACACUAAUGCCGUCCAAAGGCAGCAAGGAGGAGCCAGAGACUGGACGCCAGGAUGCUCGAGGGGUGGAUGAGACCCAGUCCACUGAGCAGCUCAACGUGUCGCGUCUACGCAGCUCUUCAGUGGAGAUCCGUGAAAAGGGGUCUGAAUUCCUGAAGGAAGAACUGCACAAAGCACAGAAGGAGCUGAAGCUGAAGGACAAAGAAUGUGAGAGAUUGUCAAAAGUCAGAGAACAACUGGAGCAGGAACUAGAGGAGUUAACAGCUAGCCUAUUUGAGGAAGCGCACAAGAUGGUGAGAGAAGCAAACACUAAACAGGCGGCAUCAGAGAAACAGCUGAGGGAGGCACGGGGGAAGAUCGACAUGCUGCAGGCAGAGGUAACAGCUCUGAAGACGCUGGUGAUCACAUCCACACCUUCCUCUCCAAACCGGGAGCUGCAUCCUCAGCUCCAGAGCCCUUCUAAAGCUGUCUUCAGAAAGGGCCAUGGGCGAAACAAAAGCACCAGCAGUGCAAUGGUCUCAGCUGCCAGCCAGAAUGUGACUCCAGAGCCAGUCAGUCAUGAAUGCAAAGAGGUCGACUCCAUUUUAUUUGCUGAGUUCCAGGCCUGGAAGGAAUCUCCAACUUUGGAUAAAUCUUGCUCCUUCCUGGACAGAAUUUAUCGAGAAGAUGUAGGACCUUGUCUGGACUUCACUAAGCAGGAGCUGUCGGAGCUGGUGCGAGUGGCUGUGGAGCAGAAUACACUCACCAUUGAGCCGGUUGCUUCCCAGACGGUGCCUGUGGUGAAGGUGUCAGCAGAAGAGUGUGGUGGGCCAAAUGGGCUCCGGUCACAAAUUGUAACGAAAUGUGCUCUGAGUGGCCUCCCCAGGACCUGCAAGCACCGCAUCAUGCUGGGGGAUUCUGGGAAUUACUACUACAUUUCACCAUCCUGCAGGGCCAGGAUCACAGCGGUGUGCAACUUUUUCACAUACAUUCGCUAUAUCCAGCAGGGCUUGGUGAGGCAGGACGUGGAGCUGAUGUACUGGGAGGUCAUGCGGCUCCGGAGGGAGAUGUCUCUGGCCAAACUUGGGUUUUAUCCCAGUGAGAUGUAAGCGGAGGUCUGAGCAUGGAAGGAAACUGCUCCUGUAUGAACGGCUUGUCAAACGUAAUCUGCCAAACAGAUUAAUGCAGUGCCUCUCCUGCAGUAGGCCUUACUCCUCCGCACCCUCCCUCUGCCUGAAGCUGAUCAAGGAGCAAGAAGCACAAGUUCCACCUUCAGCUGUCCCACUUCUCCAACUGUGACUGGAAUGCAGCUGCCAAGCUACUCCCUCAGAGCUGGGCUGGCCCUGGCUGCUCUGGGGUGGCUGUCUAUAGACUGUCCUCUAUGGAGUCUCCUAUAUGCAGUGUAUAUCCAUUUUUUUUUAACUUUUGUUUUUAUAUGCAGUCUGCUUUGGCAUAGUCUGAGGGCAGCCCUGUGCAAGGCAGGAGUCCUGGACCUUCUUUGUACGCAAGUCUUUCAGGACAGAUGCUGGCUGUCUGUCCAUCUGUUCCACUCAUCCUUUGGGGUGGAGGGUGCUGUGUCCAGCUGUACACUUAGGUCCUGCUGACCACUUACUCCCUGAAUGGCCCUGUAAAUGCCAGCAGCAUGCAAUAAUCUUUUGGAGAGCCAUGAACAGCCUGUUUCCAAGUAUUUCCUUGCUCCUUUUAAAGGAGCCUGCAAGAGAAGCUUUCUGCCAACUGAGUCACAAAGAGGGAUUUGUUUCUGGUUUUAGCUUGCAAUUUGGCACUGGGUAAUCCAGGCUGGGGGAACAGCCGGGCCAGAGGCCGGAGCUGUGCACCUGGGGCCUUCGGCAGAAGAAAGCGAGCAGGGAGAUUGUGUAACUCACAGCUGGCCACAGCUUGGCUGCAGUCGGCGCAGGAUGUUUUCUCCUGGUCUAGUGAAUCUGCUGCAGUUGUCACAGGCAGAUGUGGACUUUGACAGGCAGUUCCCUGUGACAGUCCUUGGUGCAGAAGCCCUUCCCGCAUAGUGCUCUUAGGUACAAACCUCACCCACAAACAGAUGCCUUUGAGCUUUUCCUGCUCUAAGGGAGCUUUGGGCAGUACUGUUCCCACUGUUUAGAUGGAAACCAUGGUCCCAGGCUGGGUUCUUUGUCUCCAGGAGGAGCACGCCCAGGCUGGACACUGUCUUGAGGCCCCAAGAUUUCCUCCCCAGUAUUACAGCAGACCUAGAGAUGCACGUGCCCUGGGAAACCCAGCUUCUCCUGGGCUACCAUCUCCAGUGAGGAGAUUUGAGACAUCUGUGUGUGGACGUGAGUGAUGUGGCUGCAGUUCCUGUAUGCCUCAAAAUGUGCUGGGAAGGAUGUCACUAAAGUUGUUGCAAAGCAGAGGCUUGCUACAGCUUGGGCUCAGGCUUGUCUGUACAGAACUGUGUUAAAGCCAUGACAGUGUUUUGUAGCCAAUUUAGCCUUUUUUUCAGUGACUGUGGAAUCAGCUCAGCCACCACCCACCCUGGAGGUUUCAUCUCACGUGGCAUUUCUGCAUUCUUGACUGCCACAUCACCCUGUCCCUCUGCCAUCAUCAUAACUCCCUUCUUAGCAAGUUAGUGCCCAGAACCAGAUCACCAUCCUCAGCUCCAUUAAGUUUCAUCCUUUCCUGGGAGAUGCUACAGGAGGAACUCUGUCUUCAGUGGAAGAAAAUUAACUGAGCUGCUGUGGUUUUGUCCAGGGGAGGGAGGAGUAGACGGGGAAGACAAAAGUUUUUGGUUUGGAACCUAAUACAAGGACAGAUCCACAGCAGAUCUGAGAACCUUUUGUGGAAGACCCCCAUGAGCACAAGCUUUCCUGUCACUGAGCACACUUACAGUAUGCUGCUGAGUUGCUCCUCAGGGGACUCCUUUCCUUUUAGCUAUAUUGGCAUACGGUAUUGUUUGCCAAGGGUUAGUAGCUAAGUGAAACAUGAGUCAUCAUCCCCAGAGCGGGGAGAACACAUUCCUGACAGUGCAUACUAACUUUGAAUCCACCUCCUUCAGCUCAGGAAGGGCUGACCUGCAAGUCUAAGUUGUUUCCACCCUAGUUCUGCUUUUGCUUCCCACGGCUGGGUGCCCCAACUCACGCUGCUCACCCUAGCUAGAUGAGUGUGUACAUCUGCUACUGUUCACCAAAGGAGUAUGUUUCAAAUGUGGAGUAAAAGCCUGGGAAAUACAUCUUUGGGUAAGAGUCUGGCUGGGUCUUGAGCUAGUGAUAAACCUGUAUCUCUUUUGGUGGUGUCUCCAGACUUGUAGCAAGUUGACACCAGCUUUUCCAGAGGAGACAAUAGAAAUGCUUUUUCCCAGCUGCAAAUUUCAGCUCAGGUAAAUUCUAUCCUUGGCAGUUUCUCCUUGUAUCUCUUCCCCCUGACCUUUUGAUCUCUACAUGUCAUCAUGUGCCAUUAGCUGCUACAUUGCACAACAGACGUGGCUGCACUGCAGCACUGGGAGUGAGAUGAUCUCUAUGUAGGAGACGUUUUGGUUUGUGGGAUUAUUUUUUUCCCCCAGUGUCACUUUGUAAAGCACUUUGAGAUGAAAGGAAUUAGAGAAAUGCAUUGUAUAAGGUUGUCUUACAUUUGAAACAAAGCAGAGAGAACAAUUUGUAAAUUAAUAUGAAGUCACUCCGUUAACAGCGGGAUGGUUGCACCCUGCUCUUUAAUAAAGGAAAAUAAACAUUUGUUAUUAACCUCUCUAAAGGUCUAAUUGCUGUUGUUGGGGUUGGUUGAGGGGGUGUGCUCGGUAGCCAAGAGAAAAAUCAAGUUUGGCUGGUAUUGUGGUCUGUGCUUCUCUUGCUGCUGUGUGCCCUAAGGGACGGGGUUUUAAUGCUUUUCUUCAUCAGUCUGCCCCUCCUGUAGCUGGCUGCUCCCUGACUUCACCAGGGGACUAAGUGACAGUGUUUUAGUAGCAAACACAGUUUUAUCACAAGUAUUUCUUGUGACAAGGCAGGCCUGUGUGGUUUGUACUGAGCAAGGCUGAGGUCUCUUCCAGCUCUGCUGUGGUCUGGUUCAGUUUACUGGCUUGAAGCAUUGCGUGGGAUAUGCUGGCUGUCUCAAAGGCUGGUUAAUUCAAGGAUCUUCUUCCUUCCUCUUUCCUUGCAGGGCUGAGCAGUCUCCUGCUUUUCCUAUCAGCAGGUGGAAGCAGAACUGCGGAGAAGUCAGGGAGAAGUCAGACCUGCCAAAGGAGAGUCCAUGAUCCACAGGAUCCACCACUACCUUUCAGAAGCUGCCGUUACCAGUGGGCCCUUAGUGGUGUAGAGAGAAUGGUUCUCUUCUCUGGAGACUUUUGGAUCAUGGACUCUUCUUUGGCCGGUCUUCCCUUGGCUGCGUGGGGGCCUGGGGCUUUGGAUGCAAAGGCAGGAGCUGGCAAGCAUGAAUUGUAGUGGUGCCGGGGACUGAGCUUGCUCCUGUUGUUCAGGUAAUUUUCCCCUGCUUUUAGUUGCAACUUGAUUUGAAAAAGGCUGCUUUUUCUUAUUAAAAAGGUAGGUCCAGCUCCUGCGGGCCCUUUCUUGUCCUUUAUAGACAGAGAAGGGGGACUGUGGGUGGAUUCCCUUGGCCCCAGCCCUUGUGCAGCUCUCCAUGCCACAGCAGAGGCAAGCACAAGUGAGAGAUGCCAGCUGGUUGUGGGCACAGCGUGUGCCUGCCCUGCAGCAGCGGCAGCUCUCAGACCCUCCAAGUUGGGAAGCUGGGUCGCUCUAGCUUCACUAAAGUAAUUUUUCUCUCCUGCAUUUAGCUGUGGAUAUGAACACGGGAGAUCUCUUGCCAUCAUCUCUUGGUGAUGGCAGUGGAGGGAAAAAGCAAAACAUCAAAGGCCUUUGGGAAAUGAAGCAGAGGUACAACCAGAGCAGAAAACAGGAUUAGACCUCAUGCUGGUAUUGGUUCUGGGACCUGGGGCUUCUCUUAGACUAAAGGUAAACUUGCAUGAGGAUGAGUAAGAGAAAGACUGGUCCCAGGGAACCUUGUGUCUCUGAGCGAGGCAGGGUGAGUGAGCGGUGCUGAGGUUCUUCCCAGCAUGGGACAACGAACCUCUGAACCCCCAUGGGCUUCCUCUGGAUUCGUGCUUGAGGCAAGGGUGGUCAGGCCUUUGCCGUUUUUCUUGUUUGCAUGCAAUCCUGAGACCCAGUUGCUGAUGCUUGCUAUGACAGCGUGACAGAGACAUCACCAUAACCUUCUCCCUGCUGUGUUUAAAGCCAGGAACUGGGGUCCUGUGUCCUCCCUACUCAGAGUGCCUUGAGACACUUAGCCAGGCCCGCAAAUCUCCUUGUCAUCCUUUUCCCUUUCCAUUCCUGUGUAAACAUGGGCAUUAUUGCCUUCCUCUGAUGGGAUGAGCUGCUGCUCUUGGAAUUCCCUGUCCUGCUCAGGUUGGUGAGGGUCCAUGAGCUUUUCCCUGUCUGGAUUCACACUCAUUGGCAUUUGACAUCAUGGGAGGGAGAAAACCAGCGCCCAGAGGAAGGGGCUGCCGCCUCUGGGAUGUGGAGAACCCCAACAGAUAGCAGCGAUGCUUACCCAAAGGAUCCUCUAGAUUCUGUAUUAAAACGUAAUACAAGAAUCUUUGCUCUUUGCAAGGGAGAGCAGCCUCUCUUUUUCUCCGGAGGUUUGGUCCUACCCUGUGCAACAUGUUCAUGCAGCCACAAGAGGGCACAGGCAGACCAGGCAGGGACUGUCCCCCCUCGCUGGUCACCCUGCGAGGAUGGAGCAUCUCCAGGGUCCUCCCUCGCUUCUGCUCCUGCCCCUGAAGGCAUCCCACCUGCUGACUUGUCUUCUGCAGCCUCUUCUCAGGUGUAUUUCUGCAGCCUUCCUCCCCUGCUGGCAAUGGGAAUUGGCGUUAGAUGGGUCCUGUUCUCCUUAGGCAACUGGAGAGUAAGUCUGUGAUGUGGAAUGGAGAGGAAGGAUUUGGGUUUCUUUAAGGGAUUCUCGGUUAAGCCUGAAGAACAUUGCAAAGCACUGAGGAUGGCCAGGUGUAGACAAGGAGAAGGGAGGAGGUAAGCAGAUGGCCUCAAAAAAGUCAGCUAUUUCAAACCUUUCUUGUGUGUAACCUUCUUUUAUGACAAAUCUAUCAAACCAGUGAGGAUUACUGUAGAAUAGACAACACUACCUCAGCCAGGGGGAAAUUCCAGUCAGUUCAGAAAUUUGGGGAGCGUGGCCCUGCCAGGAAGAAGUUGAUGUCCUGGCACAACUCCUAACGUGCACGUGGCACUGAGGGCUGGGACUGGUCAGCUCUGCCAAAGCACCACGUUCCUUAUAGGAGCAGUCCCAGUGGUACCACUGGUGCUGGAAGCCAAGAGGUCAGUUUUGCUAUUUAUCAUGUCAAUAUUUCCAUGUUUGCGCGAGGGUUAUUGGGCUGAGCCGAAAAGAGCUGAAACAUUGACUUCAGCCAGCCUGUUAAAGCAGAUGGACUUUGUGCUGGUUUACCUAACACUGGCAGGAUUGUCAGAAGCCAGAACAGACGCCCAGUGGGGUAAUUCCCAUUUGCAAGUGAUGAAUUGAGUAGCUAGCAAGAUACCUUCUAGCCCUGUUUACCCUGUGGCCGUAACGAUACCCUUCAAAUUUUGGUCACCGGUGAAAUGCUCUAGUUGCACGCCUGUUGCUGGGGGCUAGGUCCAGCAGAAGGCUAAAGCGUGCCGUUAUCUACUUUGUGUUGAGAUCAAGUGCACGGGGCUCAGUGGACAGUGAGGGCCCUUCCAGAAGGGCUGGUGUCUGCCACAGGGAACUGUGGUAAAGCAGCUGCAAAGACUGUGCACCACGGAGCUUGGCGAAGCAGCAAAGGAUCUUCUGCAUCCUCUUCAUAGCAGGUGUCCAAAGACACCAACCCCUCUCUACUUAUCAAGUAAUAAUAGUAUAUUCUGUGGGUUCCUCCAUCGCGGGGGAUCUGGGCACGCAUUGUGGCAGAAGGCAUUGAGGUAAAGAGCAGGGAAAGCUUUAAAUAAGGUAUUUAGUGGGCAGUGGCAGGAGGCAAGCGAGGGAACGUGAAAGGAGAUGAAAUCAGAGAGAAGCAGCAAGACUCAGUGGUGUAUAUUGUUGGAGGGGAACUUGUGCUGGGUCACUGGUGUGGUGGGGGAAUUCAUAACUCGGUAUGAUUUCACUAGUGAGAUGGCAGGUAUGCAGUGCACAGCCUGAAGAAGAGAGAAGUGAAAGAGCUCAUUUGGAGGUGGAUUAGAAGGGAAAGAGAAUGUAGAGAAAAUGAGACUAGGUCUAGUUGUGGGCUGGGUGUGAGGGGAAGAAGGGCAAAUCUGAGCUGACAGUGAUGGCUUGGUUCAGGAGAUGUGAUAGCCCUAGCUAGUAAAAAGUUUGGGAAAGUUUGGGAAGGAAAAGGUAAUUCUUAGCUUGCUUUUGGCCAGGUUGAACUUGAAAUUAUUUCCCUUGUAGGAGAAGAUAUCAGGCUGGGUUAGCUGAACAGCAAGAGUUGAGUCAUUGGUACCUGUCUGGUUACUUACAAGUAACUUCAGUGACAGAAAAGCGGUUCACAGCCAUUUGUGCAGGAGAAGCCCCAGAACAGCUCCCCAUGGGAUGGUCUCAGAGAGGGGACCUGUGAAAAUGAAGUUGAAAGAGAAAUUGGAGGUAGUUCCUGGAAAACUUUGCAGUGAAAACUCUAGCACUUGUUUGUGUACUACAUAGCUUUCAGUGAUAUUCGCAUGGGCAUGCAGAACCUCAUGAGCUUUUUAACUCGAUGUACAAUACCAGAGACUUCGUUAAUGUUUCCUAUUUAUGCUUCCACUUGAGUUCUGGGACUGCAGGUUUUCCUCUGGCAGAUGUAGACAUGGUAUUGGCUCAAGGACGGCUCUUUGCCCUUAAUUCCCCUGGCUCAUUGUGCUAAUUCUGCUCUGUUAAUCACCUUAGAGUCAAUUUAAGAUGCCUCAUGCCAGUGGACAUGUAUGUCAGCCACAACUGAAAGACACCUUUGCUCUUUCUGCAGCAGAAUUGCAGCUGGGGCUGGAAGAGGUGACUUGUCCGUUGCCUUUGAUGACCUUCCCCUUGGUCAGGCCACCUGCUGAACGUCAGCAGACAAAAAUGAUAAGGAAUGAAGCACGAAUCCAGCUUUCAGUUAAACUGAUGAUAGUGCAGUGGGCUUGACAAAUAAUGUUUCAGUGGGAAUUGCAGCAGUGUCUAAUGGUCCCACAAGUGGAUGAUCUUUUGGACAGGUAAAGUGCUGGGACCACCCAAAAAGCCUGACAGCUCUGACUUGCAUUAAGCCUAAAGACUCUUCUACACUAGGAAUGCUAACAGAGGGGAUGUGAGGACCAAAUGUUAUUCAUCUAGCAUGGAAAUGAUAUGCAUGUGCCUGAGAGAAGACCUCAUGUUUAACCCCCUGUUUAGGUUGUCUUUCCAGCCCCCUGUUCUUCUGACCAGACCAUUGCAUAUCCAUGGAUUUAGCAAUACUUCACUCCUGGUUUGCAAAAGGACUCCUGGUGUGACAACUAAUUUAGAUGCAUCAGACACUACAACAAGCUCUUUAAAUCCUCAGUGACUCUGUGAAGAUUUGAGAGUUUCCCUGUGGCUCGUAGUCCUCCAAUUAUUUUGGCUUGGGCUGGUGCUACUGGGUCCGUGACUGGGUGAUGGGAUAAAACUUACCUCCUUUGCAGAGGAUGGUUCUUUCAUUUCACAUGCAAUGCAAAUAUCCCAGGAUAUUUGCACAGAGGGAAGAAAACUCUGGAGGUAAUUUAGUCCUUCUCCCUGUUCAUAGCUGGGCUAUAUUUGAGUUAGGUCAGGCCAGCCAGUGCCUUAUCCAACUGAGUUUUGAAAACCCAGAAGUAAUUUUGCUGUUGUCAGCAGUAGCGUCACUAGCUUCUCUUCAUUAUGCUGAGUGUAAAAGCCUGCCUUUACACAUUCAAAAUGCACAAAUAUCUUAAACCCUCUUACUGCAGCAUGUGUGUUCCCACGCUCUGACUUGCCCUCGCUAUCUUGGCAACAACACAUCUGUGAGAGCCUUUCUGAAACUUAGGUACAUUUACAAAAUAUUUCAAUAGAGACCUGGAAAAUUGUCCUUUUCUGUUUAGAGGUGGUUACAGAGACGUUGUGGAAGGGAAAUUGCUUCUUAAUCACUAUCCCCCAUUUUGUGUGCGAUUCAUUUGCACAUCACAGAGCAGACUGAUGCAAUGUCACUUUGCUUUUUAUUUAUAUAUUUUCAGUUAUGCAGACAGAAGUGUUCAUAGAGUCAUAGAAUGGUUUGGGUUGGAAGGGACCUUUAAAGAUCAUCUAGUUCCUGACUUGCCCAAGGUGAGAGACAGAAUCUCAUGCUGCAACAUUCAAGUCUAGACAUUUUGUUAUUAAGCAAAUUGUUGAUUUUUUUGCAGGGAUGUGAAAGGAGUCAUGAUGCUGGAAUGCCGCAAUGAACACUGUAGCUUUAAAGUCAUCCUGAUGAUGCCUUGUCCUCUGGUGAUGUUGGAUUGCAUUUCAGUUACAUACCUUUACCAAAUCAGAUGUUUAAUUUUAGCAUUUUGUGAGUUUCAGCAUGAUCGGGAGACAAGAACGAGCAAGGGAUUGGAACUGGUAUUGGCGGCAGCACCUUCGUUUAUGUUCACACUUUAUUUCCUGUGAAGAAUAGGCUUUGCUGCUUAGGCCCAUUUGGGGUCACGAGUAUGGCCGAAAGGUCUGUUGACUUGCAAAGGGUGAUAAUUUCAACUUGGAGUGAUUUAUCUGGAGAUGCUUAUCAGGCAGAAGGAGGAACUAGCUCCAGCUGAGAAACCAACAGCAUCUUCUGCAGAUUCAGAAACCAAAUUUUCAGGUUUUAUCAGGCAUCUGUAAACAAGGAUUUUUUUUAUUUUUUUUUUUUAGUAUAGAUUGUCUGGACUAAUUCUAAUGGUAGUAUCAUCAGUCUAAUUUACUCUGCUAAGCAUGUUGUUCUGGUCUCAGCUGGCACUUUUACAUCUCCAUGAGCAGUGACUCCCAAAAUCACUCACAGAUCUCUUCACCAGAGGUGCUUUCCUGAUCUGGGAUAUUGUUUGGCACGGAAGGGACCUGAAACAAUUUCAGAAGCUGCUAUAUAGACUUCUGGUAGAAGGGCAGUGAAACAGCACGGACAAGAGCUGACAUGAAACCCAUGAAGACUCCCAGUGAAGUAGGUUGAUUUGGGCCGGACCCAAUGACUGUCAGGCAUUCUUUGUAAUUAGAGCCAUGCACACGGGCUCUGGCUUUGUGCUGGUCACUACGAAAAUAAGGGAAAAAUCACAGAAGAGAAAGCGCAGUAUGGUUCCUAUGUUUUAUAUAAAACGGGUCACUGCUUAAUGAAACGGGGUGCAGAUCUGAGUGCAAGAUAAGUGAAGUCAAUGAAAUUAAUCAAACCAACCAACCACACCCAUUUCAACUAGGAUGUGUGCAAUUACUGCAAUUAAUCUUCUCAUUGACAUAUACAAAGUCAGCACCUGGCCAAUCAGUUGCAUAGUUGUCUAACUGUGCUAAGAAUGAUGCUUCAAGCAAGGGUGGUGCUUCCAUAUGAGAAUCCUUCUCACUGUUACAAAACCCCAGGGUAUUUAAGAAAAGAGUCAUCAUUCACACCAGUGAAGCUUAUAUUUGCAACCAAGCCAUCUCCAUGGGAGUUGGAUAGCACCUUUAUUUAUAACACAGCUCGCUGACUUGGGUAGAGUCCCCAAGCAGAGAUACAGUCUAAGAAUAAUGUCUUUGUCUCAGGAUCAGCACUAGGUAUAUUUGUAGCAGGAUACUGUGUCAGCAUCCUGAGGACUGGAUACCCUUGUCUUUUGGUUGAUCACAAUUAACCCCAGGCUAAAAAAAAACAACCUUUCCUCCCAAACUGACUGGCUAAUUCUGAUCAAGAAGUGCAACAGAAGUUAAUUUGGCGUGCUGGUUUGUUUUGGGUUUUGGUCUUGGGCUUUCUGCUUCUCACCAGACAUUUGGAGCUGAGUACACAUGCUGUCUAAUUCUGCAGCACGCUGAUGGACAGCUUGUCUCCCUGGGGUGCUAGGAAAGGCAUCUUGAUUCAGAGCAAAGCUGUAAUCCAGGACUUGUUCGGCAACUAGAGAAGGCUUUGAAUGUAACGCCCGGUUGACAGGGAGUCCGUUCUCUCACUGAGUCUACAAAAAACAUUGGCUGGAGUUAAAAAGUUGGAACAUAUUAGUCUUAUGGUUCAAUUUUAUAUAGCUGUCUACACACAGCACUUGUUACUAUGAAAGUCAGCUUAGCAGGUCCAUAAUCAUCAAACCCGCACCAGGAUAUUUUAGGAAAAAAACUUAACUUUCCAUAUACGUCAUGAGUUGGCCUGCAUAUCAUAGAAAAGGAUCUCAGAUAUGAGGAUUUUUCAGCAUUUCAUCUUGCUCGUCACAGCUGGGUGUUUGUGGUUUGUUUUUGCUGGAAUGCAUUUUAGCAGUUGUUUCCCUUGAGUUAUGCUUGCCAACAGGCUUUCCGUCUCUGUUCCCAUUGCCAGUAGUUAAUUUUAUGGAUAUUUCUAACACUGGUUCUUAGCACAGGGCUGAAUGUUCUUCUGUGAGGGGCUGGAGUGACUUUAUAAAAAAAAAUAAUUUCAAAAAAUUCAUAAUGCACUGCUCAUAAAUAGAUUUUAUGUGUUUGCUAUUAUAACUGAUAUGCUAUAGUAAUAAUUGGACUGAAACUUUGGUCCUUUUACAUUAUAUUUAUAGGAGAGAGAGAGAAGUAUAUGGUGAAUAUAUUGAAGCUGUUUUUCUGGAUCUGUGAACUUUUGGACUACUCUCACUGUAUUUUCCUAUAAACCCACAUAGAAAUGGAUGUCUGCUACAUGUCUUUAUUCAGGAUUAUGGAAGACUGUUUUUAAAUUAAACCUUCUAUAUGACUCAGAUUCUCAGCUUGAGUACAUAGCCUGUUGCUCAAAGAAACAAGAUGAAUUUGGACAGUUCAUGGACCAGUCCAUAAUCCAUGCAGAAAAGAUUUCUUUGUAGAAAAGAGAAAUCACCUACGCUGCAACCUCAAUAGCGUAUCUGUGUCUAGACUCAAUAGAUUUCUCACUCUGAAUUGGGAAAUAAAUGAGCUUAUCCUGUAGCUCUUAUUGGAUUAAUUGUUUUCAUGUUGUUUCUAGUCAGUGUUUGGGAAAUAAACUCCACACCUUUCCUAAUUCUGUCAGCAAGAGAAAUUUGGAAAGAAUAACUUCUGUACACAAACGAGACCUUUUCACAAUGAUCUCCUCCUCCCUAUCUCGUUUAUCAGCAAGAGGCUGAGCAGCACCAUAAACAUCAUCCUUUUUGAGAGGCUUCUUACCACCUUGCUGAUGCAAUAUGUCUCCUCUCUGUUAGUGGUCGAGUUGGACUUCUGCAAAAUGUUCCUCGUCUGUCUUGCUCCUGGCUUAGCUGGUGACUCCCGCUAGCUGAAUCACUGCAUUCCUGCGGUGGCUGGGGAUCGUGAUGCUUCUAAAACCACCCACUUUCAGUAGAAAGUGACUUCAGGUUGUUAAACAACUGACAUGGCUGGGGUCACGAAGGAUCUUAACGUCUUCCUGAAGAACAGGAAUGACAUCUCAAUUCAGACCUUAGGGUGCUUGAAUGGAGAAAUUUCUAGGAUGCUGGAAGGGUUGUGCACCAUGCUAUGCAAAGGCAAAUCAUACUGUGUUAAAUAGAUCUGUCCCAGGACAGUGUUAGGGUUGCCAUGGGGGAAUGAUUCACCUCCUGGCCUGCUUUUGAAUUCUGGAAUUCAGUAUUACUCCCUUAAUACUAUUUAUAACAUGGUUUUCAAAAAAAUGAUGAUUCUCUGUCUGGAAAUGUGAAUGAAAUAUCUGCCUUACAAGAGGCUAGCAACGUCACCUAUACCCUGUUCUGUAGAAACUGCAAAAUAGCUAGGAGAGGGGGACAGUGUAAGUGGGACAUAGUAUGGAAAUGUUUCCAUAUUAUAUUUGAGGAAUGCAGACAGAUUUUUCAAGCUGCCCAAUAAAAUGUAUAAUAAUAUGAUAUAGCCCCAGCACAAAUGCUGAACUAAAAAUUGAGUUUUUUCAGAGGCUGAACUUGUCAUUGACUUUUCUGAACAGAAUUUAAACAACCUGUUGCAAGGAGGGAACUAUGUGACAAUGUACCUGCCUGCACUAGCUGGGUAAAAACUGAUUGUAUGAGCACCACAGACACAUUUCUUAUUGUGUUGAUGCUGCAUUCUAAGUAUGUUGUGAAACACAGACUUUCCUGAUACAUCUGGAAUUGGGCCAUUGCAGAGUGCCCAUUUCUUUUCAGUGAAAAGAGGGAGCCAAGAGCACCCAGUCUCCUAACCUCAUCUCCCUAGUGAAAUAUCUAGAGCUCUACAGAAGUGGUUUUUUUGAGCUCCAGGAGUGUUCACACAAGCAGCUAAUGCGUGGAGAAUCUGGAUUGCUGUGAACUUUCAUUUUUGCUUCCAGCAUAGAAACUUCCCAAUGAAGGCUGUGUAUCUCCGAGGACAAAAAUAUGCAGCAUGUUCACAUCUGGGUCCUUCUUGAAUAUAUUGGGCUUGGCAUGGUGUUGGAAGUGACGAUGGUUCCACCAGUUUGCAGAGGCACCCUGGGCAGAUAGAAGAACAAAGAGUUCAUCCUUGGGAAACUGCAGUUCCUCUAACG